UGCAUUCAGCAAACGUGAGAACAAAUGUCGGAGACUUUUAGGGUAUUAAAGAUGUUGCUUUAUUGGCCAAAACAAGCUUUCUACC